rnacentral:rRNA from 1 species
UUUCUACGGAGAGUUUGAUCCUGGCUCAGGACGAACGCUGGCGGCGUGCUUAACACAUGCAAGUCGAGCGGUAAGGCCCUUUCGGGGGUACACGAGCGGCGAACGGGUGAGUAACACGUGAGUAAUCUGCCCUCCACUUGGGGAUAAGCUUCGGAAACGGGGUCUAAUACCUGAUACGACACUCUCCUGCAUG